rnacentral:misc_RNA from 1 species
GACGCACAUUGCGCCUUUUGGUAUUCCGAAGGGCAUGCCUGUUUGAGUGUUGUUAUUCUAUAUCGUCCUUGGAUGAUGUGUUGGAUGAAGCAGUCUACUGCUCGUCUCAAAAUUAAUGUACCACGUCUAGGUUUAUCCAUCGUGAGAAGUACAUCUGAUUUUAUACUAUAACAGUAUGAGCAAUACCAACAUAACCUCAAAUCAAGUAGGACUACGCGCUGAACUUAA